rnacentral:rRNA from 1 species
UACGUAGGGCGCAAGCGUUGUCCGGAAUUAUUGGGCGUAAAGCGCACGUAGGCGGAUAUUUAAGUCAGGGGUGAAAUCCCGGGGCUCAACCCCGGAACUGCCUUUGAUACUGGGUAUCUCGAGUCCGAGAGAGGUGAGUGGAAUUCCGAGUGUAGAGGUGAAAUUCGUAGAUAUUCGGAGGAACACCAGUGGCGAAGGCGGCUCACUGGCUCGGUACUGACGCUGAGGUGCGAAAGCGUGGGGAGCAAACAGG